CGAGCUUGGAUGGUGACAGGGAAUAAGGCUGGAUGGUGGCAGGGAGUGAGGCUGGAUGGUGACAGGAGUGAGGCUGGAUGGUGGCAGGGAUGGUGACAGGGAAUGAGGCUGGAUGGUGACAGGGAUGGUGGCAGGGAACGAGGCUGGAUGGUGGCAGGAGUGAAGCUGGAUGGUGACAGGGAUGGUGGCAGGGAACGAGGCUGGAUGGUGGCAGGAGUGAAGCUGGAUGGUGGCAGGGAACGAGGCUGGAUGGUGGCAGCGGCCGGUCAUGCCCUUAAUCUGCGAAUUCGCUAAAGCUCUUUAAUAAAGAUUCAAAGUCACCAAGUUCUCAAUUAAGGGAUGAGGCAGCCCUUGAUCCGCGUUUCUGGGUCAGCCGGAGAAAGGCCAUUUAAGAGCCGGGCGAUUCCUUUGAUGUUUGCAGGGAAUGAACACCUGGCUGUGCAGGAGGCUCGGCCUCCUCCGGGGCAGCCCCGAGUCCAA
rnacentral:lncRNA from 1 species